GAUGAACGCUGGCGGCGUGCUUAACACAUGCAAGUCGAACGGAAAGGCCCAAGCUUGCUUGGGUACUCGAGUGGCGAACGGGUGAGUAACACGUGGGUGAUCUGCCCUGCACUUCGGGAUAAGCCUGGGAAACUGGGUCUAAUACCGGAUAGGACCACUUCUUGGAUGUUGUGGUGGAAAGUUUUUUCGGUGUGGGAUGAGCUCGCGGCCUAUCAGCUUGUUGGUGGGGUAAUGGCCUACCAAGGCGUCGACGGGUAGCCGGCCUGAGAGGGUGUACGGCCACAUUGGGACUGAGAUACGGCCCAGACUCCUACGGGAGGCAGCAGUGGGGAAUAUUGCACAAUGGGCGCAAGCCUGAUGCAGCGACGCCGCGUGGGGGAUGACGGCCUUCGGGUUGUAAACUCCUUUCGCUAGGGACGAAGCGUUUUUGUGACGGUACCUGGAGAAGAAACACCGGCUAACUACGU
rnacentral:rRNA from 1 species